CAGCCGGGAAGUAGAGUGCAUAUUUUAAGAGUCACGUAACCUGUUUCUCAGAAGCCUUUCUCUUCGCCUUGAGGCCAGAUGACUGAAGAUCGGCUGCAAACAAUUCCUUUUGAAAUGCAAGAUGAUACCACUCUGUUGGAUGAAAGUGAGGAGGAGCUGAGGAGCCUUAUCUCCAAGGUGAAAGAAGAAAGUGCAAAAGUCGGGUUACAGUUAAACAUCAAGAAAACGAAGAUUAUGGCAACCAGACCAAUUGAUAACUGGCAAAUAGAGGGAGAAAAUGUGGAGGCAGUGACAGACUUUAUAUUUCUAGGCGCAAAGAUCACUGCACAUGCAGACUGCAGCCAGGAAAUCAGAAAACGUCUACUUCUUUGGGAGAAGAGCAAUGGCCAAUCUUGAUAAAAUAGUGAAAAGCACACUGGCAACAAAGGUCCGCAUAGUUAAAACAAUGGUAUUCCCCAUAGUAACCUAUGGAUGCGAGAGCUGGGCCAUAAGGAAGGCUGAGCGAAGGAAGAUAGAUACUUUUGAACUUUGGUGCUGGAGGAAAAUCCUGCCUUGGACCGCAAGAAGAUCCAACCAGUCCAUCCUCCAGUAAAUAAUGCCCGGCUGCUCACUGGAGGGAAGAAUAUUAGAGGCAAGGCAGAAGUAUUUUGCCCACAUCAUGAGGAGACAGGAAAGCUUGGAAAAGAUCAUGAUGCUGGGGAAAAUGGAAGGAAAAAGGAAGAGAGGCCGACCAAGGGCAAGAUGGAUGUGUUGUCGACCGCGCUUUAGGGGAUCGGGCCCUUAAGGAGAGUCCCGAUCCGGUCCUGAGAGAACGGACCUUGGCGGAGCCAAUAGGAAAAUAUGAGCCGCAAUAAAACCUGAAGCCGAAAUGAGGAAGGUCCGCCAAAGUUGAAGGAAAAUCCGCCAAUGAGUCUUUAUUGAGUGAUUCAGCUGAAAAGGACUCUAGUAGUGAUCAUUCAGUCUACUAGGGUACCAUAUAACCAAAAUAAAGCCAUAUUUAUACAAUG